rnacentral:lncRNA from 10 species
GCCAUCUUCGCACGGUUCUUCCCUUGGCUUUAGAGCCCCGAAGCGCUCUUUGACUUGAGCUGCUUUGCAUUCUCUCUGUCCUGCCAUCGAGAAAGUUCUGAGCGGCUCAGAAGUAAUACUGACACUAUCAACGGAGGGGGACUGCAGUUUCGCUGGUGGCCCCACAGCCCCCUGCCUCCAGCCAGGGGACAAAGAACAGGAGGGAUCCAGAGCUAUCCCUCCGAGGAAUUCUGCCCCAGACAGCAGAGAGAUGGGGGGCAGGGGACACAUGGCCAUGAGGACAGAGAGCCCUGAGAGGGACUGGGGAAUCGAGACAUCGUUUUCAAAUAAUUGCAGCAAUCAAGAGAGACUGUACAUCCCAUCCCAGACAAAGGGAGACCUAAAAUGAGAGAAUGGAGCUGGGCGCAGUGGUUCACGCCUGUAAUCCCUGCACUUUGGGAGGCCGAGGCAGGCAAAUCACCUGAGGUCAGGAGUUCCAGACCGGCUGGGCAACAUGGUGAAACCCUGUCUCUACUAAAAAUAUGAAAAAAAGUUAGCCAGGCGUCCGCGUGCCUGUAAUUCCAGCUACUCAGGAGACUGAGGCAGGAGAAUCGCUUGAACCUGGGAGGCAGAGGUUGCAGUGAGCCGAGAUCACGCCACUGCACUCCAGCCUGGGCGAUAAGAGUGAAACUCUGUCUCAAAAUAAAUAAAUAAAUAAAUAAAUAAAUAAUCUUAAAAAAAAUAAAAA